rnacentral:rRNA from 1 species
CGGGGGGGGGGGCAAGCGUUGUUCGGAAUUACUGGGCGUAAAGGGCGCGUAGGCGGGCGAGACAGUCUUUCGUGAAAUCCCACGGGCUCAACCGUGGAAUUGCGGGAGAUACUACUCGUCUUGAGUUCGGGAGAGGAGUGUGGAAUUCCCAGUGUAGCGGUGAAAUGCGUAGAUAUUGGGAGGAACACCGGUGGCGAAGGCGGCACUCUGGACCGAUACUGACGCUGAGGCGCGAAAGCUAGGGGAGCAAACGGGAUUAGAUACCCCGGUAGUCCUAGCUGUAAACGAUGAGCACUUGGUGUAGCGGGUAUCGACCCCUGCUGUGCCGGAGUUAACGCAUUAAGUGCUCCGCCUGGGGAGUACGGUCGCAAGGCUG